rnacentral:rRNA from 1 species
UACGUAGGGCGCAAGCGUUGUCCGGAAUUAUUGGGCGUAAAGAGCUCGUAGGCGGCUUGUCGCGUCGUCCGUGAAAACUUGGGGCUCAACCCCAAGCUUGCGGUCGAUACGGGCAGGCUAGAGUUCGGUAGGGGAGACGUGGAAUUCCUGGUGUAGCGGUGGAAUGCGUAGAGAUCCGGAAGAACACCGGUGGCGAAGGCGGUCUGCUGGGCAGUAGCUGACACUGAGGCGCGACAGCGUGGGGAGCAAACAGG